AGUUUCAUGGUGAUCAUGUACAUUUAUGGUUUACUCACCAUUGCUUCACGGAGAAUACAGAUAAUCCAGAAUGAAGAAAGUAGUUGAAGCAUCUGUGGCACUGCAACCAUUCACCCUACAGUAAAGGUCUGCUGCUUCUAGAUUCAACAACCUUCCACCAUUCAACCAUUUGUUUUAGUAGCCUUCAUCUGCCAUCUUCUGAAAAGAGGAUUUUUCACUUCUCCACUUCCAUCUCCAAGAGGACUUCGAGGUCAACGUCAUUGAACCAAUGCCCGAGGCCUAUACCUCACUUUCUGUUGACCUGGUGCUUGUAAUCCUGCAUCCAAAUGUGUAUCCAGGGGCUACAGUCAUGCCUUUAUAUCAGGCCUGUACUUCCUGCCCUGUCUCUGUUCUACACAAAUUGGUUGCCAAAUCUGACCUCGAACCAAAUACCAAAAUAUUCCUUCAAAUGUUUCAGACUGUAAUUAUUUACUCACACACACAACAAAGACCCAACCACCCCACUGGUACGUGUAUUCAAGACUAAGAGCUCUGGACAUUAGGGCAACAAGUGAAUUCAGUGGAUAAAGCAGAAUGGUGGCAUUCAUGAAAACUUUUCUGUAUAGUGAUAAGGAAUGCUGGAGCAGAGCAACUAAGAACUGGAGUAGGCUAUUCAACUCCUCAAGCCUGUUCUGCCACUCAAUUUGAUUGCUGAUCUGUGGCCUAACGCCAUAUAACUGCCUUUGGCCCAUAUCCCUUAAUACCUCCGCUUAACAAAAGUUUAUCUAUCCCAGAUUUAAAAUCGACAACUGAUCAUGCAUCCACUGCCAGAAGAGCGUUCUGAACAGCUACCUCCUUUUGUGUGUAGAAAUGCUUCCUAACAUCGUUCCUUGAUGGUUUGGCCCUAAUUCUCAGACUAUGCUCCUAGUUCCAGAAAUAGUUUACCUUUAUCUAACCCGUCUUCUUCUGUACUGAAGACUUGAUCAGGUUCCUCCUUUGAUCAUCUAAAUUCUAGAGAACUCCGGACUUGAGGAACUGUAUGGUCUAGUUCCUUAGGUUUGUUUGAUAAUUUUUCAGUAAAAAUAUUUCUUAUGACUGUUCUUCUUCUGUAAUUUAAAACAAAUUACUUGUUUUCUUCAGAGGAUUUUCUGAGUGUGACAAUAUCGACAUUUACAUUUGCAAAUCAACUAAGAAAUAUAAACACCUGUUUCUAUGCUACUUCUCCUUUCAAAGAGUGGAACAUAUGUUCACCACCACAUAUUGAAUAUAUUUCGGAUAUUAUCACUACUCUGUGGGACCAACAAAGAAACACACUUAUUACUCUA